AUAUACAAAUAUCAAGUGUAACUGUGCGAAAUGGUCGUGACUUCUGGUACUUGGCUGAUGAAAGACAGCCAAGAAUGACCCGUCUUUUUUUUUUUGCCUGUCCUUCUAAUUGUUAUUUGUCUUGUCUGCCUUUGUGUCGUCUAUCUGUCCGAGCGUUUUAAUGCCCUCUAAGGCGUUAUUCUUCUAUUUUUAUAUUUCUGUAUAUAUAUAUAUAUAUAUAUAUAUAUAUAUAUAUAUAUAUAUAUAUAUAUAUAUAUAUAUAUAUAUAUAUAUAUAUAUAUAUAUAUAUAUGUAUGUAUGUAUAUAUGUAUGUAUAUACAGUCGUAUGGUUCCAGGCUCAGUCUGACUGCAUGGCACCUCGGGCCGACCGAAGCCUUGUGAGUUGUUUUGGUAGGCGGAAAAAGGAAGAAGUCCACCGUGUAUAUUUGUGUGUGUCUGUGUGUACGUUUGUGUUUGUUCCCGCCCUUGACAAGCGAUGCUGGCGUGUUUCUGUCCCCGUAACAUAGGGGUUCGGCAAAAGAGUCCGACAGAAUAAGUGCUAGGCUUACGAAGAAUCAAUCGUGAGGUCGAUUUCUUUGACUAACACCAUUUAAGGCGAUCAAAUGACUGAAACCCGCCAAAGAAUAAUCAAAUGAAUAAUAACAGACGUAAUGUCAGCUCAUUACGUCUGUUUCUUACGCAUUUUUUUUAUUGAAGAAUGAGAACAUUUUCACCACUUCAAAAUGCCGUAAUCAUCAGAUGAAACAUAAUUCCAAAAUAAUAGGAUAUCACAAAAGCACUGUAGGAAUAUACCUGUAGCCAGCCGAAUAUGAUAUAUAUGGUCACUAACCGGGGGUAGAGGAAGUAAAUUGGAGUUAGAUUAUUCUUGGCUACUGAGCAUUAAUAUAUUAUAGCUUCUCACUCAACCCCCUAAUGCCCCAAACAGAUAAUUUUUGUUGGGUUUUCUCCUAUUUCACGGUCAGCUUCGGCUGGCUUCAGGCAUGUUGCCCCUGUGUUCUUGUUUCGAAAUUAUGUUUCAUCUGAUGAUUACGGUAUAUUGAAGUAAUGUAAUGUACUCAUGCUUCUAUUAAAAAUUGCUUAAGGAACAGCUUCUUUUUAUAGUGAGCUAAAUUCUGGUAAGUGACCACAACAUAAACUAAAGAAAAGGCAUAAAGACUGUGUGAACGAAAACUCGAAGAAACUAGAUAUGAACAAAAGUAAUUGGGAAAAUGAUGUUGUAGAUCUGAACAAGUGGAGAGGUGCUGUUGGGACUGGUUGCAAUGCCUGAGAGGAAGGGAUGAUUCAGCACUUUGAACUUAAAAGGGCCUAUUGUAAAGGAACAAUUGGAACUGUAAUCAACAGUGACCACUGGAUAUGUAUUAUAUGUGACCGUGUUCUGUUGUCAAAAAACAGGAUAUGUGAAUCAUAUGAAGUCACUUGAAAAUUGUAAUGCCCAGAUCUUGGAAACUAACCGCCUCUUACGACUUGUGUCACACGUCAAAAACUAGUAAGACAAUAUCUGGACUUAAAAGACAUAUGCUUGUUCACAAAAACAUUCCUUCAUAAUCAGAUUCCAAAAGGUAAAGAUAGAAGAAACUUAAAUAGUAUCGGUCACUCGUGUUUUAAACCAUGUAAAUCAGCUGCUUAUCUAUAGGGUCAUCAACGGAGUGCUUGUGCUUUGUGAUGGAGUGUGUUAUGUGUGUUGAUGGGACGGCUAUCAUCUGUCAAGAGGAAGCAAUCCUCAUAUAAAUCUAUAUAUACAUAUACACACUCCAUGGUAAACAAAUCGUAGAGUUUCGAUCUGCUAUUUUCUUCUUACAAAUAUCAACCUGAGUAUGUUCUAACAAUUGCUCUAAUCAAUGCUGAGCCGUUCUCUGCCUCAUUGGUCUGAACACGUUUAGCUAAGACGGCUAAAUUCCCGGUCGAAAGUAAUACAAAUAUAAUUAAAUUAUUCAAGAGAAUGAGAGAGAGAGAGGUGGGAAGGAACAAUCUUGUUUCCCUAUGCUCUCUUAAGGUUGAAUUUAUUCUUGUAGAACAUGCAAUUUCUUUUAAUUUAUUCUCAUAUAUUCUGUAUAGAUCACUGCGAAUGUUGCCUUUAUUUCAUUUUAUCAAGGCAUGCAUUAUUAUGCCAAUUAUGUUACCCAGGUUAGCUGUGUUCUAAUCUGUUCACACAAUAAAUAGAUAUAAGCUAGUAAUCUCUCCUCAGUUAGGUGUAUCUUCUUUCUCUGAUGAAGGUCUAAGGAGAGUACAGACUAGACAGAACAUCCUAUUGUCUGCUCAUUGUUUGAUAAAACAUUUUGUAAGAUAAAUUUGUUUACUUUUCACCGCGAAUGUUAUAGGUUUCUCUCAGAGCUACUGGUAACCUAUAACCCAGUACUAUAUCUCGUUUGAUCGGACCGCCAACGACUAAACCGAUAAGCCUACAAGAUCUGCGCAAUGAGGGGGAUGGUUUUUCGUUUUACAUCCUGCUUUGCAGGCCGAAAAACAAUAGCUGUCAAAGGGCGGUAGAGUGUUCUGCCAUUCCUGAUCUGGAACGAAGUGAUUGCUAGUCAUUAUUUAGACAUCUGUCUUGGAGAAGGAAAACUAUGGUGUAAAAACUGCGACUUAAUUUGCUUCCAGUAAUGUUAGCUACACUUGGGCAAAUGCAUACGCACUUUAUAGAGUAAGAGUGACCCAUUUCCUCACUUUGAAGAAACUGCAGGUACAGACAUUCCUUGGUUUUCAGCAUCUUGGUUAAUAUCUCAAAUAUGUCUUGCAGACAGUGCUUGGCCGUACCUGAAAAGGGUAAAACACCGAAUGAAAAAUUUCAUGAUGGAACGAAGUUAUGUCUUAGCGUUGGUGGUAAGCUCUCUGAACACCUGUGCAAAGUGUGUACAUCCGUUGCAGGAGUAAAAAUUCACAACUGCACUGUUCAUGUUUAAGAGAGCAAACAAGUAACGGCAUAACUCGAAGUGGCGUUGCACCUAUCAAGUAUGUAUGUAUGUAUGUAUGUAUGUAUGUAUGUAUGUAUGUAUGUAUGUAUGUAUGUAUGUAUGUAUGUAUGUAUGUAUGUAUUUAUGUAUGUAUGUAUGUAUGUAUGUAUGUAUGUGUGUAUGUAUGUAUGUAUGUAUGUAUGUAUGUAUGUAUGUAUGUAUGUAAGUAUGCAUGCAUGCAUGUAUGUAUGCAUGCAUAAUGUAUGUGCAUAUGUGUACGAGCGUAUAUAGACAUAAAUAUAUAUUCAUACAUACACACAUAUAAACACACCCAUGACCGCAUGUGUAUCGUUGGCGAUUUUUUUCCCUCCGUCUGCCUUUCCUUGGAUCUUUCCUUUUCCUAUAUUUCUGACGAAUAGCUCCGCUCGAAACGUUAAAUCCUCCUUCGUUCUUUCCUUUCCUAAGCGUCCAAUAACACUAUACUUGUUCCCCGUCCUCGCGUUGUCGUGUUUUCUCCUUGUGUUUUCAUGUUUGGAUUAACUAUAUAUAUAUACAUACAUACAUACAUAUAUAUAUAUAUAUAUAUAUAUAUAUAUAUAUAUAUAUGUCGUUGCUAUUAUCCAAAAGUGUCCAAAACGUUGCUUCUUCAGAAGACGAAAAUAUAUUUACACCCUUCUAUUUCUUUUUACAUUAGCAGCAGUUUCAUAUUAAAAAUACUUUGUUGGGUGCAUAAAAUCGUAACACCAUGCAUGUAUGAUAUUCUUAGUCAGAAAAGUUUUCGCAAAAAUGUCAUAUGUGCAGAUUACUACGCUUUAAGACAAUGUUAAACAGUUGUACUACACUUUGACAAGUGUACUGCAUCUGAAGUAGCUGGAAGUAUGAUAGUAUGAAGAAACGAACCAGCGAUUACAAGCAAAAUUAAAUAUAGAAAAAAAAACACAUUUGGCCAAAUUUGGACGUACGAUAGUUUAACAUAAUGGCAAUUAUAUAUACAUACAUACAUACUACAUACAUCUCUCUCUCUCUAUAUAUAUAUCUCUAUAUAUAUAUAUAUAUAUAUAUAUAUAUAUAUAUAUAUAUAUAUAAAGCUGAAGUAGUCUGUGUAUGGCAGGUUUGGUAGCCUUCAACUAACACUGUCUCCUCCGAGACCCUGCGGCGCAAGUUGACCAAAAUUGAGAGUAUGAUAGAAGAGGCUUGCUCUUCCUUCCGUAGAAGAAAAAUAUCAAAUCGGACCAUGUUAACACCAAAAAUUAUUUACAUCAAAAACGUGCUUUUUUCUAUCAAAAUCCCUAUUUCAACGAUUUUUUGACUGCUGUGUCGCCAUUUUUCGGUGUAUUUCAACCAGACAAAUGUUCACUUAAAGAGAAUAACAAGCUACAUAAUGCAAAAUUCUUACUUUUCAAAAAUUCCAAUUCUAAAGUGUCGAAACAAACCCGAGCAACGCCGGGCGAUUCUGCUAGUAUAUAUAUAUAUAUAUAUAUAUAUAUAUAUAUAUAUAUAUAUUUAGUUGAACAUUAAUUAUCGAACACGAAAAAUAGCAAAAACAACAAGUGGACGAACGUGUGGAAUGUAUUAGCCUCACGUUCAAUAAAGGUGGAAGAAAGAAUGGGUAUACAGCGUCUCCAGCGUUCCGAUCAUAGCGGAGAAAAGAGCGUCUCCAGGGUUCUGAUCAAGAGGAGAAAGGAAAAGUCCAGAGAAGGAAUAUACAUAUAUAUCAACGUGAUCACCGUGACCGACCAGGCUAUCAGAUGUUGCUUCGCAUUGUUUUAGCCUUCAAAUGACGCCACCCCGCUAGCUAAGCGAGCAGGCCAACAGAAAGAGAGGAAGUUGUGGCGAAAGUGUACAGCAGGGAUCACCACCACCCCCUGCCGGAGCCUCGUGGAGCUUUAGAUGUUUCCGCUCUAUAAACACUCACAACGCCCGGUCUAGGGAUCGAAACCGCGAUCCUACAACCGCGAAUCCGCUGUCCUAACCACUGGGCCAUUGCGCCUCCAUAUAUAUAUAUAUAUAUAUAUAUAUAUAUAUAUAUAUAUAUAUAUAUAUAUAUAUAUAUAUAUUAUAUAUAUAUAUAUAUGUGUUAUAUGUGUGCGUGUGUGCGUGCGUGCGCAUGUGUUUGUCUUCUUUUACAAUCUGAAUGGCUUUCUAUACACACACACAUAUAGACACGAACACGCCACGCUGAAGUAUAUCUUUCGAUAGCUAUGAGAAAACUACCAGCCUCUAUGGAAAUUAUGCGUUUCCAUUGUUGGACUCUUUCGAUAUAAACCAACCGCCAUUCAGUAAUUAAAUGCUGGUGUCAGGAUUAACUAAAGAAAUAAGGAGCAUUGGAGGAUCAUUGGUUGGGAAUAUUAGGCGCGUGAAAGCUAGUAGAAGUAGUAGUAGUAGUAGUAGUAGUAAUUGUAGUAGUAGUAGUAGUACUGUUAUUAGUAGUGGCAGUGGUACUUGUAGGAGUAGUUGUAGUACAGGUUGUACUGUUGGUAGCGGCAACAGUAGUAGUAGUAGUAGUAGUAGUAGUAGUAGUAGUAGUAGUAGUAGUAGUAGUAACAACAAUAGUAGCUGUACGAGUGAUAAGUAGUCGUAGCAUCAUCGAUAAAUACCAUAUCAAACAUCGUAUAUAAGGUUAUAAAGAAAGUGAGCAAUGAUUUUUGAAGCAUGAAAUGAUUUCAGGAAUUCUAUCAACCGUUCAUGCUUCGUUUGCUUUUAUUUCAGGACGACCGAUUUUAAUAAUUGUCCAUUUUGUUCAUAUACUUCGACCGUUCAAUUUUCAGCAAUCUAUCAUCUCUUUCUGGUUUGAUAUAUUUUCUACAUUUACUCCUCUCCUGCAGAUAUAUAUAUAUAUAUAUAUAUAUAUAUAUAUAUAUAUAUAUAUAUAUAUAUAUAUUAUCUAUCUAUAUAUCUAUAUAUAUAUAUAUAUCUAUAUAUAUAUAUAUAUAUAUAUAUAUAUAUAUAUAUAUAUAUAUAUCUGCAGAGAUAGCAUGAGAGGGAACGAGUGAGACAGACAGAGAAACAGAGGGAAGGAACAGAUAGGUAGUUCUGGUGUGAGGGGAGUAAAUGUAGAAAAAAAUAUAUAUAUAUAUAUAAACGAUAUACGUCGCCCUUUUCAAGUCUAGUCAGGCUCAUGGGCCCGGUUUCCCGGUUACUCAAGAAACAGGAAGAGAGAGAGAGAGAGAGAGAGAAGUUGUGGCGAAAGAGUACAACAGGGAUCGCCACCACCCCCUGCCGGAGUGUCGUGGAGCUUUUUAGGUGUUUUCGCUCAAUAAACACGCAUAACGCCCGGUCUGGGAAUCGAAACCGCGAUUCUUCGACCGGGAGUCCGCUGCACUAACCACUGGGCCAUUGCGCCUCCACACACACACACACACACACACACACACACACACACAUAUAUAUAUCUAUAUAUAUAUGUGUGUAUAUAAAUAUAUAUAUAUAUAUAUAUAUAUAUGUAUGUACGUAUGUAUUUGUAUAUAUAUAUUUAUGUAUAUAUAUAUAUAUAUAUAUAUAUAUAUAUAUAUAUAUAUAUUUGUACACAGAGAGAAAGAUAGAUAGAUAGAUAGAUAGAUAGAUAGAUUAGAUAGAUAGAUAGAUAGAUAGAUAGAUAGAUAGAUAGAUAGAUAGAUAGAUAGAUAGAUAGUUGCAGACAUGGCUGUGCAGUCAGAAAUAUACUUCUCAACCACAUGAUUUCAGGUUCAGUCACAUUGCGUGGCACAUUGAGCAGGUGUCGUCUACUAUAAAUCUGAGUCGACCAAUGUCACAUGAGUGAAUUUAGGAGAGAGAAACUGUGUGGAAAUACGUCUUAUAUAUAUAUGUAUAUGUGUUUGUGUUUGGCACCCCCAACCUUGCACUGCUUGACAAAUCCUCGUGAUCAGCAGUUCAGCGUAAAUACACCGAUAGAAUGUGCACCUAACAUAAGGAAGUACUUGUUGGGCUGAUUUAUUCAACUAACCUCAUUGGCCGCAAUCCAAUGACGGAAAUAAGUGAAAAAUAUAAGAUUAAAAAACUCAUAUAUAUAUUGUGUAUGUGUUUGAGUGUAAAGGAUUCUAUAUAUGUCGCAAUUACAGUUAUUGAUAUAAUGUUCGUCCUUCGGGUUCGAAGAUGACCAUUGACAUCAUUUGGUGGAAUUGCUGCUAUGAGACCGGAUGUGGCUGAUGAGGCCUAUCCGGGCAAGAAAGCCCCUCCCACAGGUGGGACAGAAGUGGGUAGGGGCUGUGUUAUUGGUGCAGGUGGCUCUGGCUUUCUGCAUCUGGCGUUUCUGUUCUGCUGACUGAAUCCGUCUCUCCUCGGCUGUCUUUGCUCCUGUGGUGAUUGCGCUGCGCCAGGAUGAGCGGUCGGCAGCAAGUGUCUCCCAAGUCUCUGUGCCGAUGGAGAAGUCCUUGAGAGAGACUUUGAGACUGUCCUUGAAGCGCUUCUUCUGCCCUCCGACUUUGCGUUUGCCCUGGCUGAGUUCACCGUAGAAGAGCUGUUUUGGGAUGCGAGUGUCGGACACGCGGGAGACGUGGCCUGCCCAUCUCAGCUGGGCCUUGCGCAUGAUCGUGAUGGUGCUAGGGAGAUCUGCCUGCUUCAGAACUUAUAUAGAUAUAUAUAAUUGUGUUCAAACAUUCAGCAUAUUUCCUAUGCAUGGUGCAACACAGAUGCAGUCAACUACCAGGCCGCAGAUUACAGUCUAGUCCAGAGUCGUGACCGUGGAAAAUUUGGUAUCGAGCUGCCUGAAAAUAUAAAGUUUAUUAAGCCAGUUAAAUGUGUUAAAUGUAUGUUGUAAUUGGUAUCGAAGAGACUUUCGGACUCUUGUACACAUAGGGCACAACGUGCCUCUCUGUCUAUGUCCGUCUGUCUCUCUCUGUCUCUACCACCGUCUCACCCUACCUCUUUCUUCUCUCCCUGUAUAUUUCUCUGUCUCUUUUUAUAUAAUUCUCUCUGUCUCUCUGUCUCUCUGUCUCUCUGUCUCCCUCUGUCUCUGUCUGUCUGUCUCUCUCUCUGUCUCUCUCUCUCUCUUUCUGUCUGUAUCCGUCGCUCUCUCACGCACACAUUCACACGGUAUUCUGCCUUCAUUUGCUCGCCAAGAUUUUUUAACGUCUCCUUUUUCUUUGAUGGAUUGUCUCUGUUUCUAUGUCCGUUCCUCUCAUUCUUCCUUUAUUCCUCUCUUUCUUUCAUUCUCUCUUUCCCCUUCAUUUUAUUGGUCUUCCAUACCUUCGUUAAAUAUUUUUUUCCAUUCUGCUUUCUUCACUCCCUGCUUGUCCCUUUGUGAAGCUCUCCCUUUCUAUCCCCACCACCUCACAUUAUCAUUUCUUCCCUCUUCCUCUUUGUUUUCUGAUGAUACCGAUGCCUGUUUCUAUGACAACACCGUUCAGUGUUACAGGCAUUUAAAUUCCUAUUAAUGUCUGUUGCUAAGGUAAUAACACCUUCCUGGGUAAAGGGAUAUGUGAGUUGCUACAGCAACAUGCAUAGCUGCAUCAAAUCUAGUGCAUGUCACGUUACUGUGAAAAUUUGGGCCUUAGAUCUUAGCAAUCACUGGCGACCGGUUUGUAUACUUAUUAAAACUCUUCAUUAACGUCAGUAACUUGCAUUCUCACGACUAAUUCUAAGACUUAUGAAGCGACCCAAUGGAAAAUUCUCUUAGGUACACACUCGGCUUGCUGUCAAAUCUCGCUCUCAAUAUUACAUAUGCAAAAUACACGUCACAUAAAAUGUAGGCCUAUAGUGAUGGAUAGUGAAAAACAACCGAAAAAACCUUGCUUUAUGAAUCAGUUAAAACAAAAUUGAUCUAAGGUUAGUUGAAAGCAAUACUAUAGAAUUACGACUAAAUAUGGACAAUACAAUAAUUUUGAUGAAAAGUUACUGAUAAUAUUCAGAGAGAAAACCGUCAAGCAUACAAACGGAUAGUUUUUAUACUAAUUUAAAUACUUAAUUUAGUGUAAGUGAUGUCGGGUUAGAAUCCUGGUUUAGAAAGAGGGCAGAUGAUAGUCUCAUCUACAUCAAAGGCUUAUAUACAUACAAGUAGAAACGCUAUGGGAUUCUGGGUAAGCAUAAAUCUGAAACUGAUGGAAAACCUUUAGAGAUUCUACACAAUUUUCCCUUAGACAAUAAAGGAAUGACGCUUAAACCGUAAUGUUACUAAUGAGUAAUAUAUUGUAACAAACCAGUAGAAUGAGUGCUCAGCACUAGAGAAGUGGGUAAACAAGUAUUUUUCAAGAGAAUUUUUGUAAAUUCUCAUAUUCUUGGUAGCAAAGGUCAGCAUUUUAUAAACCAGAAUUCAAAAUACAAACGAUUCACUGGUGAAUAAAGAAUUCUAGUCGAACAAAUAAUGAUCGCUAGCAUCAGGAAAUCUCAGGUAUCACAGAAGUAAUAAAUAUUCUCUUUAAACGUAUACACUCACACACACACACAUAAAUUUAUAUAUAUAUAUAUAUAUAGGCGCAGGAGUGGCUGUGUGGUAAGUAGCUUGCUAACCAACCACAUGGUUCCGGGUUCAGUCCCACUGCGUGGCAUCUUGGGCAACUGUCUUCUGCUAUAGACCCGGGCCGACCAAUGCCUUGUGAGUGGAUUUGGUAGACGGAAACUGAAAGAAGCCUGUCGUAUAUAUGUACAUAUAUAUAUAUAUAUGUAUGUGUGCGUGUUUGUGUGUCUGUGUUUGUCCCCCUAGCAUUGCUUGACAACCGAUGCUGGUGUGUUUACGUCCCCGUCACUUAGCGGUUCGGCAAAAGAGACCUAUAGAAUAAGUACUGGGCUUACAAAGAAUAAGUCCUGGGGUCGAUUUGCUCGUCUAAAGGCGGUGCUCCAGCAUGGCCGCAGUCAAAUGACUGAAACAAGUAAAAGAGUAAAAAAAGUAUAUAUAUAUAUAUUUGUGUGUUUGUAUCUCUUUAUGUAUGUAUGUAUCUAUCAAUCUAUCUCACUCUCUCUCUAUAUUUGUGUGUGUGUGUGUAUGAGUAUGUGUGCCUGAGUGUAAAUAUAUAUGCAUAUAUAUAUAUAUAUAUGUGUGUAUGUAUGUAUAUAUAUAUUUACACACAGGCACACGAAGGAUUUCCUCUUGUGUCCAUGUUUAAAAUUCCAUUCUAGUGAUAUGGGUGUAAGUGCGGCUAAAUGUUUAAAGUAGGUGGCAGUGCCUAGAUUCUACGAACUAGGAAGUCUGUGAUAAGAAAUCGAACUCCUUCACACAUACACAAGCACACAAACGCGCACGCGCAUACGCACAUGUAUGUACAUAAUUUUAAAACUUUCAUCGACAUUGUUUGUUUUUAUGUGCCUAUAUACAUACGUACAUUCAUACAUAUACACACAUGUAUAUAUACGCAUAUAUUCAAGCACAAAUAUAUACAUACAUACGUGCAUACAUAUAUACGUAUAUAUCUAUAUAUAUACAUAUAUAUAUAUUUUUAUAUAUAUAUAUUUAUGUAUAUAUAUAUAUUUAUGUAUAUAUAUAUAUAUACACACACAUAUGUAUGUGUAUUCAUAUUUGCGUAUAUAUAUAUGUAUGUGUGUAUAUAUAUAUAUACACACAUAUAUGUAUAUAUAUACAUACAUACAUAUAUAUAUAUAUAUAUAUAUGUAUAUAUAUAUAUAUAUAUAUAUAUAUAUAUAUAUAUAUAUAUAUAUAUAUAUAUAUAUAUAUAUAUAUAUAUAUAUAUAUAUAUAUAUAUAUAUAUAUAUAUAUAUAUAUAUAUAUGUAUAUAUAUGUAUGUAUAUAUAUAUGCUGCGUGUGUGUGUGUACGCAUGUAUGUGACUGAGUGUGUGUGUGUACUUGCUGAGCAUGUGAUUUCCUCUGAGACCGUGAGUUGCAGCUGAGACAAUUACUCGAACAAAUCUCAUUUUAGACAUUUUCGAGACGCAAAACACCAAAAGUGUUAGAUUAUCUUUUCUAACACUUCAUAAUAUACGGUGGUUGUAGUCAGGAAUAAAACCAAUUUUGAAUGGAACUGUUUUUCCUGUUUUUCAUAAAUAUCUCUUCCAGUAUGUAGUUGUCCAUUAUUUAUUAUGUCGAUUGUGGAGGUGCAAUGGCCCAGUGGUUAGGGCAGCGGACUCGUGGUCAUAGGAUCGCGGUUUCGAUUCCCAGACCGGCGUUGUGAGUGUUUAUUGAGCGAAAACACCUAAAGCUCCACGAGGCUCCAGCAGGGGAUGGUGGUGAUCCCUGCUGUACUCUUUCACCACAACUUUCCCUCACUCUUACUUCCUGUUUCUGUUGUACCUGUAUUUCAAAGGGCCGGCCUUGUCACUCUCUGUGUCACGCUGAAUAUCCCCGAGAACUACGUUAAGGGUACACGUGUCUGUGGAGUGCUCAGCCACUUACACGUUAAUUUCACGAGCAGGCUGUUCCGUUGAUUCGGAUCAACCGGAACCCUCGUCGUCGUAACCGACGGAAUGCUUCCCAUUAUGUCGAUGAUAUUUUAUUGGUUUAAGUCAUUAUUCUUCAAAACACAUUGGAAGGGCACCACUACAGCAAGGGCAUAGUUUUUUGGAAUUCAAGGGUGCACGGUUAUUUGAUACAUUGGCUAUACAUCUGAGAGAUCUACAUGAAGUAGGGGUAGAUGUUUCUAAGAAACAAUUUGAUUUCCUGCUAUCGAAGGAACCAACAUCACGGCAAAAACUCAAAAGGCGGUAGUAAUAUCGAACACCUUCCUUCACUAAAAGCCAAUCACAUAAGAAUAGCCUUUGGAAAGGUGGUAACACUGACGAUGCCCUUGGAUAGGGGCAGCCUUUGGGUGCUGAAACGCAUAGAAUGAUGUUAGUAUAUAUUUUAGCAAUUCUACUAAUUGAACUGUUUGAUGACAGGUUGGCACAUAUAGGAACAGUCAUGCAAACACACACACACACACACACGUGUGUGUGUGUGUGCUUUCUCAUCGUUUGAUAACUAUUCUUUUUAUGUCCUGGUAAGAAGCAGUUCAGCAAAAGACAUACUGAAAAGGAUUGGCUUGAAAUAGACUAAGUGGUGAAUUAAAAAACUAAAACGUUCAUGCCAUGCUCCAGCAUGGCCACAGAGCAAUAAAUGUAACCUGUAAAAAUGUAAAAUGUCCCUUCGGUCAUGACUCACCAUAGAAUUGCGCACUAGAAAGUUACCCUCCGAGGUGAAAAUCUGAGCAAGUCUGUUUAUGGAAGAGCAGCAGUCGCCUAUGCAUACCAGCCUCUCCUCUCCAUGUUACUGAUGUUAUCCAAAGGAAUGGCAAAGGGGCCGAUACAGCUUGGCACCAGUGACGUCGGAACUCAUUUCUACAAUUGACAGAACCGGAGCAACGUGAAAUAAAGUGUCUUGCUUCUGAAGAACACAACGCAUCAGACCGGUCAGGGAAUCUACUUCAAGUUUGUCAGCCCCACGCUCUAACCACAAAGUCAUGCGCAAAAUCUUUCCCUGUUUGUUUCAUACUAUUCUUUUCUUUCGUUCUUUCUUUCUCUAUCACAUACGUACGCUUUCUUAGGGGAAAGAGAUUGUGUACGCCUCUUCACGAGAACGACAAACAAAUGAAAUCUCAAUAAUAGUCUUAAGGACAUAAUUCAAUUGGUUUCCUUUGCCAAACUGUCGUAUUACGGGGAUGCAAAGAAACCAGUCCCGAUUUCCAAGUGAUAGUAGGGCACAAACACAGUGAGGCACACAUAUACAUACAUAUUCAAAUGCAUGCAUAUAAACGCAUGAUAGGAUUCAACAUAGUUUCCGUCUAUCAAAUUAACUCGCAAGGCAUUGGUAUUCCCAGGAAAUUGUAGAAGGCUGGACAACUUGAUUUGAUUUUGAUUUUUCCAGUUUCAGCUCAUGAGCUGUGGCCAUGCUGGGGCACCGCAAUUUGGUGUUGCUACAUGGUUUUACUUCACGAAUGCUUUUUAGCAACUGUCAUUUGGUGCAUGAGAGAGUUCGAUGCAGCUGCCCUCAUCUGCACCUCCUGCCGUGAAGUUGGUUCAUCUGGGAUACCUGAGAAGAAGAGAUGCAUUUUCAUUUUAAAGACAUCUGCAUCCACCCCAUGCAGGUCUCUUAGGUUCUUCGGGAGGAUAUUGAAGAGCUGUGGGCCUCGGAAGCCCAGGCUAUCACAGUAUCUUGUCCUACAUCUUGCUGCAUAGUGGAACAAAACUCGAAACCAUGUGGUCGCCUAGCGAAUUUCUUAGAAACAACAUGCAUACAUAUAUACAUACACACGCGCACAUACAUACAUAGAGACACACACACAUACACACAUGUACACAUACAAACAUGCAUGCACACAUACAUACGCACACACAUGAUAAAAAACAUACGUGCGUACACACAUAUAUGCAUACAUACACACUCAUACAUAGGUACAUACACAUACAUGCACAUAUAUACAUACAUACACAUGCUCACAUACAUACAUACACUAAAGCACAUAUAAAUACACAAACAAAGACACACACAUACAUGCACAUACAUACAUACAUACAUACAUACAUACAUACAUGCAUGCAUACAUACAUACAUACAUACAUACAUACAUACAUACAUACAUACAUACAUACAUACAUACAUACAUACAUACAUACAUACAUACAUACAUACAUACAUACAUACAUACAUACAUACAUACAUACAUACAUACAUACAUACAUACAUACAUACAUACAUACAUACAUACAUACAUACAUACAUACAUACAUACAUACAUACAUACAUACAUACAUACAUACAUACAUACAUACAUACAUACAUACUAUUUCCAUUCGACGGAAAUUUGUCCUCAUCUUGUUUAUUGUUAACACAACGUUUCGGCUGAUAUACCCCCCAUCCUUCAUCAGAUGUCUUGGGGAAAUUUCGAGCCUGGGUUAUCAUUCCUAAGGUAUUUUUCGAUGCUUAUUAUUAUUAUUGAUGUCACUGCUUGGAAUCAAACCCGGAGUCUUGCGGUUAGUAACCCGCGCUCUUAACCACUACGCCAUAUGCCCACGGGCAUAUCCGUCGAAUGUAAAUAAUGUAAAUAGUGUACAUAAUUCCUCAUAGCUUAAAUAUACAACUGUAAUACACACAUACAUACAUAUAUACAUUCACACAUACAUGCAUACAUACAUAAACACUCAUACAUAUACACAUAUUCAUGUGCACGUACAUAUAUACAUACAUACACAUGCACGCAUACAUAUAUACAUACAAACACGCGCAUACAUACAUACACAUAAACACACAUACGUACAUAAACGCAAACAUAAACAUAAACAUAAACACAAACAUACAUACAUACAUUCAUACAUACAUACAUACAUACAUACAUACAUACAUACAUACAUACAUAUGCUUUCAAAAUGUGACCUCGUGUGUAGCGUUGGCGAUUUUUUUCCUCUGUCUUCCCUUCUCUGGAUCUUUCCUUCUCCUAUGUUUCCGACGAAGAGCUCCGCUCGAAACGUUAAGCCCUCCUUCUUUCCUUCUUUCCUGAGCGUCCAAUAAUACUCUAUUUGUUCCAAGUCCUCGCGUUGUUGUGUUUUUUUGUGCCUUCUUGUUUGGAUUAACUUUACAUACAUACAUAUAUAGACGCACACACAUACACACGUACAUACAUGCACACUCAUACACACAUAUAUUCAUACAUACACACACUCAUACAUACAUACACAUACAUAUACACACAGACACACAUACACAAAAACACAUACACACGUACAUACACAUAUACAUACAUAUAUAUGUAUAUGCAUAUGUAUAUAUUCUCUCGGUUUCUAAAUGUUUCCGAGAACCUUAUUCUCGGCGCGAAUGUGUAUAACCGAAAGACUACACAUUGCGUAAAUAAAAACUAUGUGUUCCCUUUUUUUCUUGUUUUUUUUUUUUUUUGGUUUUGUUUUUGAAGUCAUUGAAAAGGGAAUAUUCUGAGUGAAAUAAAGUGAGCAGUGACGUUUUUAGGGUUUGGUAUGAAAUGGUCAACGGAGAAAAAAUUUUUAAUGGGUAUCGGAGCCAGUAGGAACUGUUUAGCGACCACCUAACAACGGACCAAACUGCUCAUAAACAUUCGGAGCUGGACAUUGAUUAUUUGCGAAUUUCAUAGCAGCAUGCCGGCUCUCGCUGAUAUAUGUGCAUGUAUGUACAGAUAGACACAUGCACACAUACACACGCAUGCACAACUGCGCGUGCGCAAAAAGCACACGUGCGUGCGAACACACAUCUACACUGACAAACAACACGAACUUAUACAUGCAGACCUCUAUGUGUUUGUGACUGAGUGGAAUUAUAAAUAUCUAUCUGUAUUCUUAUAUAUACUUAUACUACGUAUAUAUAUAUAUAUAUAUAUAUAUAUAUGUAUGUGUGUGUGUGUGUGCCUGUGGAUAUGUGCGUCAUUUUCUUUAAAACAUCUAUCCCAAAGCAUAUUAUGUAUAUAUAUAUAUGUAUAUGCACGUAUAUAUAUAUAUAUAUAUAUAUAUAGAAAGAUAUAUUUGUGUAAAAAUGUAUAUAUAUAUAUAUAUAUAUAUAUAUAUAUAUAAUAUACAUAUAUAUAUGUAUACAUAUAUGUAUAUAUAUAUACAUAUACAUACAUACAUACACACACACACACACACACACAUAUAUAUAUAUAUAAAAUAAAUAUAAGAGAGUGGUCACUAUAUGGCUCACUCUAGCACUAGUCAAUCCAAAAGGUUUCAACCACAAUAUUUUUGUGGUUGAAACCUUUGGAUUGACUAGUGCUAGAGUGAGCCAUAUAGUGACCACUCUCUUAUAUUUAUUUUGUAAAAAUAUUAUAAUAUAUUAUAAAAUAUUAUAAUAAUCCAGGUUUUUCGGAGCACUUGGCCACUUGGUGUUGAAUAGAUAUACUAUUAAAUUAGUAUCUAAUUCUCUCACCCUUAUUAAUUAAUUAUAUAUAUAUAUAUAUAUAUAUGUAUGUAUAUUCAUAUAUUGAAAAAGAUUAUGCAGGGAGGUUAAGUAUAUUGGUUUACGACACUUUGGUAGAUCCUUAUUGUUUCUGGCAUUUAUUUGUGGCAAAUCCAUAAUUACAGACGCUCGCGCGUGUGUGCCUUGCCUGGACAACGUCUACUUGUACCAGCGUUGUGAGCUUGGAGUCUUUAUUUGUAUAUUUUCUUGUAGAAAGUUGAAGUCAUUUUCUGAUGAAACGUAAAGAAUUUGUAUGUAUGUAUGUAUACAUACAUGUAUGUAUACAUACAUGUAUGUAUUUGUGUACGUAUCUGUCUAUCUUUAUAUUUGUGCUUGUCAUUAUAUCAUUUGACAAUUGGUUUCGGUUUUUGUUUAUGUCCAUGUGACUUGACAAUUCGGACAAAAAACCGAUAGCAAAAGAAACCGGGAUCGAUCGAAAGGAUCGAAUAAAACCUUCAAACUUUAGAGAAAGACAUAUACUCAUAUACACAAAAGACACAUGCACCCGCGUGCACCAACACACACACACAGACACACACACACACACAUACACACGAGUACACUCACAAACACACACAUGCAAUAUUAUAGGUUAUUCUAAGGGUUGUCUAGUUCCUCUAUUGAUUUUAGCUAGUAUCUAUUUCCGAAUACUUAUUCAUUCCACGGUGGUACUCCAGCAUGACCGCAGCCGCAUGACCGAGUAAAAAGAUUAAAGAAUACCUAUAUUAUUUUAUCAUACACCUUUGUGAAAAGCACAAUAAGCUCAGAGUGAUAUUCCAACCACAUUUACUUGGUAUUAAAACACGGAGCCUACGAAUAGUAACGGCUAUUAAUUUCGUUUAAUUACUUAAUUUUUCUUAAUUAUUUUCACCAUAUCUUAAACAAGUCUUGGUAUUUUUAAUUUUAUUUUUAUUGUAUUCUUUUACUCUUCUACUUGUUUCAGUCAUUUGACUGUGGCCAUGCUGGAGCACCGCCUUUAGUCGAGCAAAUAGACGCCUGCGCUUUUAUUUUACUAUUUCUAGUAUCUAGACUAUGACCAUGCUGGAAGAGUUUUUCAAAUUUUUCAUUCACAACUUCGACCUUCGUUGCUUCAAUGCUUAGUUUGAUUAUGAGUGGCGUAACGAGAUUGCCGAAAAAUACACGUACUUAUUAACAUAAUGUAAAAAGACAUUCAUAUUCUCAUCUAUUUCUUUAAAACAUUACUAGGGUCUCUCACCCUUUUUAUGUCACCCUCUUUUCUUUCUCCCUCUAUUCACGUGAAAACGUCACCGACGGCUAAGUACCGGACUGACAAACAUAAUUAUUACAAGAUUCCAAACAUCAGUUUGAUAAUUACAGUUAUUUGACUGAAUUCUUCAUUACUUUCAAAUGAACAAAAUCAAAGUCUUUGUUAUUCCGCAGAAAUAUUGUAACAAAUGUAUUGAACAAUGAAAAUCAAAGUUGGUUUGGCUGGAAUUUGAACGAUUACAGCAUAACAGUCGAUCCGAUGUUCUGGCGUUUCCGCAAAUUGACUGCCUAACUAUUCAUUUUACUUGUUAUUCAAAAUUCUUUCACUAGUAAUUUUGCAUUGUUUUCGUAGUCGUCAAUGUGUUAUGUCUUCCGGAUUACGUGUUACCAUGAAGAAGUUGCAACCGAAAUUAACUUUCAGUCUAAAAUUACUGGCAUGAAAUUAAUGAAAGGAUAACGGAAAUUAAACGAUAUGUGUCUACUUACGAAUAUGCAAUUCCUUUUAUCACAGCUUUGCAUAAAUCACUGUUGUUAUGAAAUGAAAUAUGUCUUUAUAAUUUUAAUUCAAAUACUUCAAACCGGAACAACAUUCAGUAAUAUAACAUGCAAAGAGCAACCACAGAUGUCGCAUGUUCAUUUGAUACUAUAUUAAAUAUAUAUACAUAUAAAGCUGAAGUUGUCUGUGUGUGUGUGUGUGUGUGUAGCAGGUUUGGUAGCCUUAAACUAACACUAUCUCCUCCGAGACCCUGCGGCGAAAGUUGACCAAAAUUGGGAGUUUGAUAGAAGAAGGCUUGCUCUUCAUUCCGUAGAAGAAAAACUUCAAAUCGGACCAUGUUAAGACCAAAAUUUAUUUACAUCAAAAAGGUGCUUUUUUUCUAUGAAAAUCCCUAUUGUUUACGAUUUUUUGACUGCUGUGUCGCCAUUUUUCGGUGUAUUUCAACCAGAAAAAUGUUCACUUAAAGAGAAGAACAAGCUACAUAAUGCCAAAUGUUUACUUUCCAAAAAUUUCAAUUCUAAAGGAUUGAAACAAACCCAAGCAACGCCGGGCGAUACUGCUAGUAUAUAUAUAAAGCUGAAGUUGUCUGUGUGUUUGUGGCAGGUUUGGUAGCCUUCAACUAACAUUAUCCCCUCCGAGACCCUGCGGCGCAAGUUGACCAAAUUUGAGAGUGUGACAGAAGAAGGCUUGCUCUUCAUUCCGUAGAAGAAAAACUUCAAAUCGGACCAUGUUAAGACCAAAAAUUAUUUACAUCAAAAAGGUGCAUUUUUCUAUGAAAAUCUCCAUUUUUUACGACUUUUUAACUACUGUGUCGCCAUUUUUCGGUGUCUUUCAACCAGAGAAAUGUUCACUUAAAGAGAAUAACAAGCUACAUAAUGCAAAAUUUUUACUUUUCAAAAAGAUUGAAACUUUGUUAACGCGACAUCAAAGUCUGCUGUUUUAAGCGCAACUAAAAAACAAACCCGAGCAACGCAGGGCUAUAUUGCUAGUCAAUGAUAAUUUUGAUCAACAUAUAUGUUUGUUUCUAAGUAUGUAGGUUCUCUGUUAUUAAUUUAAGUGUUAAUUUUGACCGGUCACCUGCUAUGAAAGAAGGAAUCCUGUUUUGUUCAACACCCUUUAAAUCUUAAGAAAGCCUUGCAGAUAUCUAUAGUCCUAGAUAUCGUGGUCAUAGGGGGUGUGAUUUGCGAAAUUUUGAUUGCUAUGGUCAACACUUCCUUUGUUGGCUCAAAGUAGAUUUUACUGUUGUUAAUGCUUCUUAAUCUAGGUCAGUGGUUCUUCUUCGGGGUUCAUAUGACCCUUGGCGUUCCAUAUAAGAAUCAUUAUUAAAAUUGAUCGGCAAUAAAUUGGUUGUAAUUCUACAUUACAUAAGAUAUUAUAACAUUUUUUUAAAUACAAUUCCUAAUAAUAUUUAAUUAUAGAAAUAGCCUCAAGAUCGAACGCAGGGCUGUUAGCGAUUUCCCUGCGUCGAUUCUUCAGCCUACAGCGGACCAUGGAAUACGUGCCGGAGUAUACGCCUGUGUGACUUUAUGUAUACGUUUUUUUAUUUGGUCCAUGCUUGUGAAUGUAUGCGUAACUGGAAGCAUAAAUCCAUAUCUACUUUAGUAAGUACGUGAGCCUCCGUACACACUACUAGUACACAGGUACGCCAUCCCCGACUCUACCUUGGUGCCUUUGUUAUUUAAAUAUCUUGGUUCGAUCGGAUCCGGAAAUUUUAUAAUUACAAAGAUAGAUUAUUUUUUUAAAACAUAGAAUUGCUAGGAAGGUCCAUCUGAGUUAAAUAGGAAUCAAAGGGCCUAUAAGUAAAAAAGGGAUGAGAAAGAUGUAUCUACAUUAUCGCAGGAGUGGCUAUGUGGUAAGUAGCUUGCUCACCAACCACAUGGUUCUGGGUUCAUUCCCACUGCGUGGCACCUUGGGCAAGUGUCUUCUACUAUAGCCUUGGGCCGACCAAAGCCUUGUGAGUGGAUUUGGUAGACGGAAAUUGAAAGAAGCCCGUCGUAUAUAUAUAUAUAUAUAUAUAUAUAUAUAUAUGUGUGUGUGUGUGUGUGUGUGUGUGUGUGUGUGUGUGUGUGUGUGUGUGUGUGUGUGUAUGUUUGUGUUUCUGUGUUUGUCCCCGCAACAUCGCUUGACAACCGAUGGUGGUGUGUUUACGUCCCCGUAACCAAGCGAUUCGGCAAAAGAGACCGAUAGAAUAAGAACUAAGCUUCCUGUAGUCGAUUUGCUCUACUAAAGGCGGUGCUCCAGCAUGGCCGCAGUCAAAUGACUGAAGCAAGUAAAAGAGUAAAAGAGUAAAUGCUUAAUCAAACAAAUCUAUGAUGAAGCCGUUCAUCUUAUCUCCUCUUUUAUCUAAAAGGAUUUAGUCUCUGUAGUAUGUUCUUUAUUCAAAAUAUGGAAGAGCGUGAUUUGCCAAUUGGCAGCUUCAUAUUCAAGGUGAUUUGCUUCCGAUUUGUUGCUCCUUCUCGUUCUCGUUUUAUCUUAGCUUGGAUUAGACAUUGGCAUUAUUGAAGCUAACGAAAAGAAGGAGGAAAAUCCAUCCACUACAGUCGUAUAAUCGCUGAGCCAAUCGACCUCUUUUUGCUGUUGAUUCUGUAUCCUUUCGUCUGUUGGCUAAAAACAAAUAUAAACCGAGGCGCCAGUUCUUAUAGAAAUCUCUAAAGUUUCUCCUCAGGGGACAAACUCGAUCCUAAUAUCUAUCAGUCAGAACGACUCGUUGAUGGAUAUCUACCUUUUUUUUCUUCGUUUAUUUCUUUAUUUCUUUUAGCUGUGCGUGUAGUUGAAGCGAUAUCAACCGGACAGAAUGAGAUACGAGGAUUAUAUAAUUAGCCUGACUUAUCACCGCGUCUCUAGCUAUUUCGCUUUGAGUGUUGUAAAUAUUUCGCGAAAUAAGCUUCCGCUCCAAGUUUUUCCAUCGUGUACUUUUACGUUAACAGACAGAACACAAAACAGUCGCCAUUUUAAAUUCUCUCCAAUUAGUUGUCUUCUUUCUACUCUAUGUGAUUCAUCUCUACUAUAUAUAUAUAUAUAACAGUUAUCUAUCAUAUUCAUUCCUUGUCUUUUCAUUUUUCUCUUUUCAUUUUUUCAUUUCUUUCUCUUUCUUUCUUUGUUUAAUUCAUUCACUCAUUAAUUUACUUCAAGCCUUCUUAAUUUAUUUACAUUUGUUUUCAUUUUUGACUGGUUUCGUUUUCCUUUCUCUCACAUAUUUUUUUACUCUUGUCUUUCAUUUAUUUUUCCUUCAUUGUGGUCUUUUAUUUCUUUUGUUGUUUUCCUGUUUUCCUUUUAUUCAUCAAUUCUUCCUUUUAUUCGUGUAUAUCUCUAUAUACUUUUUAAUUAUUAAUUUUUUCUAAAAUUUAUCUCUUUACAUUAUUUACAAUAUUUACAUUUGACGGAUAUUUGUCCUCAUAUUGUUUGUUCUUAACACAACGUUUCGGCUGAUACACCCUCCAGGCUUCAUCAGGUAUCUUGGGGAAUUUUUGAACCUGCGUUCUCAUUCCUAAGGUAUUUUUCGAUGUUGUUGUUGUUAUUAUUAUUGUUCUCUCUCAUUCCUUUCUAUCUCUCUCUCAAAUACACACUCUCUAUGUAUGUAUGUAUAUAUGUGUGUGUGUAUGUUUGUGUGUCUGUGUUUGUCCCCCACCAACAUCGCUUGUCAACCGAUGCUGGUGUGUUUACACCCCCGUAACUUAGCGGUUCGGAAAAAGAGACCGGUAAAAUAAGUACUAGGCUUACAAAGAAUAAGUCCUGGGGUCGAUUUGCUCGACUAAAGGCGGUGCUCCAGCAUGGCCUCAGUCGGAUGACUGAAACAAGUAUAGAAGAGAUAAAAGAGUAAAAGAGAACAUACAUAUUUAUGAAAUAAACACUCAAUAAACACGUGUAAGGUAACGUACACACUUCUCUACUAAAGCAACAUGUGCCCUCAUUACACAGAUGUAAGUUUAUCUAUUUGCACACUGAUGCAUACGGAAAUACGCACACAAUACAGUUAAACACAAUCCCCUAUCAAAUAGAUGAAAGGGACUUAACUUCGCUACUGUGUUAAGUGCACGACUUGAAUACUGUGAAGAGAGAUAGUUGAAUAAAUCUCAGAGAAAACACAUUGCGAUUUAAAUAUUAAAAUGACGAGCAAACAACAAAUAUGUAGAACUUCAUGAGUAAUCCCGUAUAUCUGAAUGAAAACACUGAGAAUGGCUCGACUUAUAGCUCGAGUAUCAUUUGGUUGAAAUCUACUGCUAAGUAACUCAGAGAAUACACGUAGAAAAGAAAACAAAGCAAGAUGGCUUGUUUAUAAAAUAACUUGUUAUAUCACCCUACGCGUAUUUCUUUAACAAAGGAUGAUGUUCGAUUAUGUAAAUUAUAUGAUACAAUUGCAUAAUCAAAUCUUCAGAGAUGCAUAAAUUUUGUUCUGAAUUUUACAGGAAUAUUGACAGUGGUAUCUACAUUAGUUCCACAGCAACUGUGUUAAAUUAGGUGAAGAAGAUAGUUAUAUAUCUACUCUGCUCAGAGACGCUUUCGCAGCACAGAAUUUCCUUUCUAGGUUUUUAACUACGUAGCCUGCAGUAACUAAUAACAAAUAUAUAAGUUCAUACUGUAACCAUAUCUAAUGCAAAAUUUUGUAAAGCUUUGCCAUUCAAUAUAUGCAAAUCAAUAAAAAUUAGUGUCAGAAUGGAAAACUUCUCUGACGUAAAGAUAGCGGUGCUGCACACUGAAGCCAAUAAUUGACAGUAAAAUAAAUGAGUAUUUUUGAUAUGUAUGUGUAAAAACCUAUAUGAAUUGAUAUAUAUAUAUAUAUAUAUAUACACGUAUGUCAGUAUCCUAUAUGAAUGGGUAUAUAUAUAUGUAUGUGUUGCAAUAUGUGUGUGUAUGUGUUUGUGGGUGUUCGUAUGUAUGAUUGUGGAUGCAUGCAGAGAAUAUCUCAGUCAAACUAUACUUUAAAUUAUAAAAGAAAACCCAUUAAACGUGAGGUCAACUGUUAGUGUCAGUAGCACACCAUUUGACGCAAAUGAUCGCUUAUAUCAUAGACAAAAAGAAAAAUCUCUUACUCUUUGAGAUUCAUUGCUUUUUUUUAUUAUUUUAGUGUAUAAUGUGUUAUAUACAUAUUAUCUAACGAGGUAUUUCUUAUUAUUUUAUAGGGAACUAACUGUUUGCAGGAGGCCCGUUUGUCCACCACAAUUCACGGCGUAGUAUCCUAUUGAUAUUUGAUAUAUCAGCCGAAAUAUUUGAAGG
rnacentral:lncRNA from 1 species